CCUGCCUCCGCCCCAGCAGCACACUGUGGUUUGUUCAGUGUUAUGGCCAAGUCCAAACCACACUGUGGUGUUAGAGCGAGGGUAG
rfam:Monodelphis domestica chromosome 2, whole genome shotgun sequence.